CCUACGGGUGGCAGCAGUGGGGAAUAUUGCACAAUGGGGGAAACCCUGAUGCAGCGACGCCGCGUGAGUGAAGAAGUAAUUCGGGACGGAAAGCUCUAUCAGCAGGGAAGAAAAUGACGGUACCUGAGUAAGAAGCCCCGGCUAACGACGUGCCAGCAGCCGCGGUAAUACGUAGGGGGCAAGCGUUAUCCGGAUUUACUGGGUGUACAGGGAGCGUAGACGGGGCGCCAAGUCUGGAGUGAAAUGCCGCAGCUUAACUGCGGAACUGCUUUGGAAACUGGCGAACUAGAGUGCGGGAGGGGUAAGCGGCAUUCCUAGUGUAGCGGUGACAUGCGUCGAUAUUAGGAGGCACACCGGUCGCGAAGGCGGCUUACUGGACCGUACCUGACGUUGAGGCUCGACAGCGUGGGGAGCAAACAGGAUUAGAUACCCGAGUAGUC
rnacentral:rRNA from 1 species